GUUUUUAAUUUUUUUUUUUUCCAGGGACCUGUAGUAAACUUUGCAACAGACCGGUUUACUGGGCUGGCUUGAACAGCAGGCUUAUGGAGUCCUAAGCCCGUGUUCUAUCCUACGAUAUUCCUCUUUAUGACAGAGUAAUACAGAAAGACAAAUUGAUAUCACAAAGUAUACCAAAUUCAUUACAGCUUAAGACUAGCCCCACAAAUCCUUGUUCCCAUUAAUCAAAACUUUACAGAGGUGAUAAACAGUGAUUUUUACCAUUCAUUCAGUUUUCACUAAGAGACAAAAGAGGGUUCUUGGAUCUCACACAAGAAAGAAUUUGGGGCAAGUCCAUACAGUAAAGUGAAAGCAGGUUUAUUAAGAAAGUAAGGAAAUAAAAGAAUGGCUACUCUGUAGGCAGAACAGCAGCAUGGUCUGCUCAAAUAAGCACAGCGUAGGCAACAUGGCGAAACCCGGUCUCUAUUAAAAAUAUAAAAAAUUAGCUGGGUGUGGUGGCACAUGCCUCUAAUCCCAGCUACUUGGGAGGCUGAGGCAUGAGAAUCGCUUGAACUCAGAAAUUGGAGGUUUCGGGAGGAUCAUUUGAACCCAGUUCAAGAUUACAGUGAGCUGUGAUCGUACCAUUGUACUUCAGCCAGGGUGACAGUGCAAGAGCCUAUCUCUAAAAACAAACAAAAAUUGCUUUCACACUGUGAUGCUAUCACAUCUCUCCUAAGCUCUUGUUGGGGCUCAGAAAUUGAUACCCUAAAAUAUGGCCCUUGGUCAUAUUGAACUGAAGAAGCCUCAAAGUCUCUCUGACAUCCCUGCCACCAACUAUCCCUACCAAAACACAUCGUGGAAUUAAAGUUUCUUUAUCUACCUAAGAUCCAGACCCACCAAAAAGAGCAAUUAUUUUUAUUUCCCCUUCCUGUAAGACCAAGAAUGUAACCAUGCCCGAACAGACUUUCACAAGAUAAUGUUCAAGUUAAUCUCUGUUCCCUGAUCUACUUACUCUCCCUAGUAAUGAAAGGAGUUGGCCAGCUUGCUUUAGGCAGACAGUAAGGGAAUGGUCCCCAGAGAACCUCUGACCUGCCCCAUAAGUGCUUACACAGGAUGUUUUGUGCAGAUAAGGGAACUUGCACAGGGGGCUUGCCUAAACAUGCCUGCAGUGGAUGAUUCCUUUCCUUAACACAUGCGCAGUUCAGGAAAUUAAUCAAUACGGAGUAGCUCAGUCUAAAGGCCUGCAUGCACUGGUAGGACAGGGUGGAGUUGCCAGGAAUUUGAGCCUUAAGCCCUAGUAUUCAACUGUGAAGAGCAAACCAGAAAUCUGCUUUCAGGACCCUUCUCUUUGCUGACAGCUUUCCUUUCACUUAAUAAAUUCUACUCCGCUCAUUCUUUGAUGGCUGCAUGCCUAAUUCUUCCUGGCUGUGAGACAAAAACCCAGACCUAGCUGAGCGAAGGAGCAAAAAUCCGCAACAGUAAUCCCAUCAACAGAAUUUCUCUUCUUCCCCUCCCAUAAUCUGUUUUGCCAGGAUAAUAUAUAAGCUUUUAAGCCCUCUUGGGAAGUGGAUAAUCAUUCUAUGGUUCUCCCUGUGUACAUGUUAAUAAAUUUGUGAGUUGAUUUUUCAGCAAAGUUUCCCCAGAAGCCAAAGGGGAAAUUUCCCUUGGCCCCUCUACUCUCUUUUCCCAGCUCUUCUUUUACUUUCGUUUUUAUUUCCUCAGCCCAGUAGGUCACAGCCUUCUUUUUAUUUCUUCUCUGUCCAAACCAUCAGUAUAUCCUACAGGUGGGAGAGAAGCAGCUCUCUGGGAAACCAGUAAGCACCAUGAGUUCUGAUACUUUCUAGUACCAUUUGACAUAUUAACAUCCCUGCCACCCCUAAUAUGUAUGGACACGCACACACAUACCACAUCACAUGCAUCACACUAACACAAAUUAUGUAUCACAUACCACACACAGCACACACAGUACCACAUACCCCACACAACACCCACACCACACUACAUGCAUCAUGCACAUAUGUGCACACACCUCUUGUGAUGUGUGUUUAGUGCAAUUCAGAAAGUUACUCUUUGAUUUAAUGCACAUCACUAUGCUUAGAAAUAUUCUAGUUACUGGGAUUCAUCAGUGAACAAUAUUGAAAAAAAUCCAUCCCUUAUGGAACUUGCAUUCUCAUGAGGGAAGCAAACACCAAACAAAAUAAAUUAGUAAAAUAUUCAGUG
rnacentral:lncRNA from 1 species